AAAUUGAAGGGUUUGAUCAUGGCUCAGAUUGAACGCUGGCGGCAGGCCUAACACAUGCAAGUCGAACGGUAACAGGAAGCAGCUUGCUGCUUCGCUGACGAGUGGCGGACGGGUGAGUAAUGUCUGGGAAACUGCCUGAUGGAGGGGGAUAACUACUGGAAACGGUAGCUAAUACCGCAUAACGUCGCAAGACCAA
rnacentral:rRNA from 1 species